AAUGGGCGAAAGCCUGAUGCAGCGACGCCGCGUGGGUGACGAAGGCCUUCGGGUUGUAAAACCCUGUGGAUGGAGACGAACAUACUCCGGUCGAAUAGGCCGCGGGGAUUGACGGUAUCCAGCUAGCAAACACCGGCUAACUCUGUGCCAGCAGCCGCGGUAAGACAGAGGGUGUGAACGUUGCUCGGAAUUACUGGGUGUAAAGCGCGUGCAGGUGGUUUUCUAAGUUCGGUGUGAAAGCCCAGUGCUCAACACUGGAAGCGCACUGAAUACUGGAAGACUUGAGUCCUGAAGAGGAGAGUGGAAUUCUCGGUGUAGAGGUGAAAUUCGUAGAUAUCGGGAGGAACACCAGUGGCGCAAGCGACUCUCUGGGCAGGAACUGACACUAAAACGCGAAAGCGUGGGGAGCAAA
rnacentral:rRNA from 1 species